rnacentral:rRNA from 1 species
GACGAACGCUGACGGUGUGCUUUAGACAUGCAAGUCGAACGCGAAAGCCCUUCGGGGUUAGUAGAGUGGCGAACGGGUGAGUAACACGUGGGCAAUCUGCCCCUCGCAGGGGGACAACCGGAGGAAACUCCGGCUAAUACCCCGUACGCUUGCUGGACCGCAUGGUCCGGCAAGGAAAGGUAGCUUCGGCCAUCCGGCGAGGGAUGAGCCCGCGGUGCAUUAGCUAGUUGGUGAGGUAACGGCUCACCAAGGCAACGAUGCAUAGCUGGUCUGAGAGGAUGAUCAGCCACACUGGGACUGAGACACGGCCCAGACUCCUACGGGAGGCAGCAGUCGGGAAUCUUGCGCAAUGGGCGAAAGCCUGACGCAGCAACACCGUGUGAGCGACGAAGGCCUCGGU